rnacentral:rRNA from 1 species
CGCACGGGUGAGUAACACGUAUGCAACCUGCCUGCCACAGCCGGAUAAUCGGGAGAAAUUCCGUCUAAUACGGCAUAAUGCAUCGACGGGACAUCCUGUUGGUGCCAAAGGUUAAUUCCGGUGGCGGAUGGGCAUGCGUCGCAUUAGUUAGUUGGCGGUGUAACGGACCACCAAGACGACGAUGCGUAGGGGUUCUGAGAGGGAGGUCCCCCACACUGGUACUGAGACACGGACCAGACUCCUACGGAAGGCAGCAG